rnacentral:tRNA from 1 species
GCCCGUGUAGCUCAGUGUAGAGCACCGCUUUCGUACAGCGGAUGUCGGAGGAUCGACCACUCCCGCGGGCCCCA